rnacentral:rRNA from 1 species
CGCGUGGAUGACGAAGGCCGAAAGGUUGUAAAAUCCUUUUGCUGGGGAAGAAUAAGUCUGGGAGGGAAUGCCCGGAUGAUGACAUGAACCGGCGAAUAAGCCCCGGCCAACUACGUGCCAGCAGCCGCGGUAACACGUAGGGGGCGAGCGUUGUUCGGAAUUACUGGGCGUAAAGGGCAUGUAGGCGGUUUUGUAAGCCUGGCGUGAAAGAUCACAGCUUAACUGUGAGGGUGCGUUGGGAACUGCGAGGCUAGAGUUAUGGAGAGGGAGCUAGAAUUCCUGGUGUAGGGGUGGAAUCUGUAGAGAUCAGGAAGAAUACCAAUGGCGAACGCAAGCUUCUGGCCGAUAACUGACCGCUGAGGUGCGAAAGUGUGGGGAUCAAACAGGAUUAGAUACCCUGGUAGUCCACACUGUAAACGAUGUGCACUAGGUGCUGGUGCGGAUGCAUCAGUGCCGUAGCUAACGUGCUAAGUGCACCGCCUGGG